AGGUGCUUAUUUAGCAAAUUCAACCUUAAACCUGAGUGCAUGGAAACUAUUGAUGCAGUGUCCAAGGUGGAGAAAGGUCAGAGUGGAUCCAGAGGAGCCAAGAGAAGACGUCCAGCAUGGUGACCUGGGCUCAAGUCAAGGUCCUUAUUUCUCUGAGGCCAUAAUGGUUAAGUAAUUUCCCAAUGUCACUUCACACUCAAGUGGAAGAGCAAGGUGGCCAACCCAAAGCCCACGUUUCUUCUCCUAUAGAAGUCUUCCUCGUGGCUGACUGCUUGAAAAUUUAGCCAGGUGUUAAAGGAUCAAGACUGGAAGUGACUGGUGAACCAUUUGCAGUGGUUCCAAAGGAGCCCUGCAAUGGAAAAGAAAGGAGAGAGAGAAACUCCAUGUGUGGAAGCUUGAUCUCCUUUGAAAAGAGCUCAGCUUAAAGGAUGAUAUCAUGGGGACUGUCAACAGGAAUCAGAGAUGCAUAUCCAAGGGCAGAAUCUAAUUUCAAUUCCAGGACGUUUCAUGAAACAGAAUGCAAAGCAACAAUUAUCUGCUAAAUGGAAAAUUAAAGGCAUAAAUAAAGUCAAAGCUCAAACCA
ensembl:lncRNA PCAT1 prostate cancer associated transcript 1